GAUGAACGCUGGCGGCGUGCCUAAUACAUGCAAGUCGAGCGAACAGACGAGGCUCUUGCUCCUCUGACGUUAGCGGCGGGCGUGUGAAUCACACGUGUAUACCCUCCCUAUCAUACUGAUAUCACUACGGGAAUGCGGAUCUAACACCAGAUAAUCUAUUGCACCUCGUGGUUCAUUGGUGGACUCCGGUUUUUCUGGCACUACUCGCUGUUUCUCCGCUGGAUUGUCUAGUUGGUAAGGAAAUGGCUUACCACGGAUACGAGGCGUAGCCGACCUGAGAGAGUGAUCGGCCACAUUGGAACUGAGACAAGGUCAAGACGCCUAAGGGAGGCAGCAGUAGGGAAUCGUAGGCAAUGGGCGAAAGCAUGACGGAGCAACGCCGAGUGAGUGAUGAAGGUCUUCGGAGCGUAAAGAUCGGUUAGUAGGGAAGAACAAAUGUGUAAGGAAAUAUGCACGGAUUGACGGUAACUAAUCAGAAAGCAACGGCUAACUACGUG
rnacentral:rRNA from 1 species